GUUAGGAAUAUUGGACAAUGGGCGCAAGCCUGAUCCAGUCAUGCCGCGUGAGUGAUGAAGGCCUUCGGGUUGUAAAGCUCUUUAGUCCACGAAUAUAAUGACUGUAGUGGAAGAAUAAGCCCCGGCUAACUUCGUGCCAGCAGCCGCGGUAAUACGAAGGGGGCGAGCGUUACUCGGAAUCACUGGGCGUAAAGCGUGCGUAGGCUGUUUUGUAAGUCAGAAGUGAAAGCCCAGGGCUUAACCCUGGAAUUGCUUUUGAAACUACAAGUCUCGAAUUCGGGAGAGGAUAGCGGAAUUGUCAGUGUAGCAGUGAAAUGCGUAGAUAUUGACAGGAACACCAGUGGCGCAAGCGGCUAUCUGGACCGAUAUUGACGCUGAGGCACGAAAGCGUGGGGAGCAAACAGGAUUAGACACCCUGGUAGUCC
rnacentral:rRNA from 1 species